CUCAAUUAUUAGCUUGGAAAUGUUGUUUGAUCCUUCAUAGGAUGAUCGGUUGAUUGCGGUACUCGGCGGUAGCGGAGGAAUGAAGAUAAUUCCGGCAGUAAUUCAGGUUUUCCUCAACUAUUUCUCCCUGGGAUUCCAACCUUUCCCAGCUGUUGAAAGGUCAAGGGUGUAUCAUCAGUUAAUUCCAAACGUAGUAAAAUACGAAAACUUGACGUUCAUCGAUGGCGAUCACGUCGAACUUUCAGAC